rnacentral:rRNA from 1 species
GUGAACGCUGGCGGUAGGCCUAACACAUGCAAGUCGAACGGCAGCACAGUAAGAGCUUGCUCUUACGGGUGGCGAGUGGCGGACGGGUGAGGAAUACAUCGGAAUCUACUUUUUCAUGGGGGAUAACGUAGGGAAACUUACGCUAAUACCGCAUACGACCUACGGGUGAAAGUAGGGGAUCUUCGGACCUUGCGCGAUUGAAUGAGCCGAUGUCGGAUUAGCUAGUUGGCGGGGUAAAGGCCCACCAAGGCGACGAUCCGUAGCUGGUCUGAGAGGAUGAUCAGCCACACUGGAACUGAGACACGGUCCAGACUCCUACGGGAGGCAGCAGUGGGGAAUAUUGGACAAUGGGCGCAAGCCUGAUCCAGCCAUACCGCGUGGGUGAAGAAGGCCUUCGGGUUGUAAAGCCCUUUUGUUGGGAAAGAAAAGCAGCAGGUUAAUACCCCGCUGUUCUGACGGUACCCAAAGAAUAAGCACCGGCUAACUUCGUG